GACGAACGCUGGCGGCGUGCUUAACACUUGCAAGUCGAACGGAAAGGCCCUGCUUUUGUGGGGUGCUCGAGUGGAGAACGGGUGAAUAACACGUGAGUCACCCGCCCUUGACUUUGGAGAUCACUUCAAGAAAGUGGUGCUAAUACCAGAUAGGAGCUUCUGCUGCAUGGGGGGGGAUGGAUAUUUUCGGCGGUUGGGGAUGGACUCCCUGCUUAUUUGUUUGUGGGUGGGGGACUGCCUUACCAAGGCAUUGACCGCCAGCCGGAAUGAGAGGGUGACCGGUUUGAUUGGGACUUAGACACAGCCCCCACUCCUACGGGAGGGAGGAGAUUUUUUAUAUUGUUGCAUGGGCCGAAGCCAGAUCCACCCCCGGCGGGGAGAAGGACGUCCGCGUUGUAAACCUCUUUCGCUUUAGACUAUGAUUUUUUGGGAGUGACCUUAAUGGAAAAAGAAGCAUCUGCUUAUUACCCGCCCGCAUAUGAAAUGAGACGGAAGGUGCCAGCGCUGAUCUGAUUCUAUUAGCAGUCUCGUCUUUGAUUUGUUUGAUCGCCUCAUAACUUUAAUCUUGUCCCUUCUGCGUGAGCGUGCUUUCGAUACGGGUUGACUUGAGGAAGGUAGGGGAGAAUGGAAUUUCCUGGUGGAGCGGUGGAAUGCGCAGAUAUCAGGAGGAACACCAGUGGCGAAGGCGGUUCUCUGGCCUUUUCCUGACGCUGAGGAGCGAAAGCGUGGGGAGCGAACAGGCUUAGAUACCCUGGUAGUCCACGCUGUAAACGGUGGGUACUAGGUGUGGGGUCCAUUCCACGGGUUCCGUGCCGUAGCUAACGCUUUAAGUACCCCGCCUGGGGAGUACGGCCGCAAGGCUAAAACUCAAAGGAAUUGACGGGGCCCCGCACAAGCGGCGGAGCAUGCGGAUUAAUUCGAUGCAACGCGUAGAACCUUACCUGGGUUUGACAUGGAUCGGGAGUGCUCAGAGAUGGGUGUGCCUCUUUUGGGGUCGGUUCACAGGUGGUGCAUGGCUGUCGUCAGCUCGUGUCGUGAGAUGUUGGGUUAAGUCCCGCAACGAGCGCAACCCUUGUUCACUGUUGCCAGCACGUUAUGGUGGGGACUCAGUGGAGACCGCCGGGGUCAACUCGGAGGAAGGUGGGGAUGACGUCAAGUCAUCAUGCCCCUUAUGUCCAGGGCUUCACGCAUGCUACAAUGGCUGGUACAGAGAGUGGCGAGCCUGUGAGGGUGAGCGAAUCUCGGAAAGCCGGUCUCAGUUCGGAUUGGGGUCUGCAACUCGACCUCAUGAAGUCGGAGUCGCUAGUAAUCGCAGAUCAGCAACGCUGCGGUGAAUACGUUCCCGGAACG
rnacentral:rRNA from 1 species